rnacentral:rRNA from 1 species
GUUGGGUAGGGGAGCGUUCUGUAAGCCUGCGAAGGUGUACUGUGAGGUAUGCUGGAGGUAUCAGAAGUGCGAAUGCUGACAUAAGUAACGAUAAUGCGGGUGAAAAACCCGCACGCCGGAAGACCAAGGGUUCCUGUCCAACGUUAAUCGGGGCAGGGUGAGUCGACCCCUAAGGCGAGGCUGAAAAGCGUAGUCGAUGGGAAACGGGUUAAUAUUCCCGUACUGGUGGUAACUGCGAUGGGGGAACGGAGAAGGCUAGGUUGUCCGGGCGACGGUCGUCCCGGUUCAAGCAGGUAGGCAGAGUGAUUAGGCAAAUCCGGUCACUUAAUGCUGAGAUGUGAUGACGAACCACCAAGGUGGUGAAGCAAUUGAUGCCCCGCUUCCAGGAAAAGCCUCUAAGCUUCAGGUUACCAACAAUCGUACCCCAAACCGACACAGGUGGUCAGGUAGAGAAUACUCAGGCGCUUGAGAGAACUCGGGUGAAGGAACUAGGCAAAAUGGUGCCGUAACUUCGGGAGAAGGCACGCUGGCGGUAGGUAAAGUCCCUCGCGGACAGAGCUGAAGCCAGUCGAAGAUACCAGCUGGCUGCAACUGUUUAUUAAAAACACAGCACUGUGCAAACACGAAAGUGGACGUAUACGGUGUGACGCCUGCCCGGUGCUGGAAGGUUAAUUGAUGGGGUUAGCGCAAGCGAAGCUCCUGAUCGAAGCCCCAGUAAACGGCGGCCGUAACUAUAACGGUCCUAAGGUAGCGAAAUUCCUUGUCGGGUAAGUUCCGACCUGCACGAAUGGCGUAAUGAUGGCCAGGCUGUCUCCACCCGAGACUCAGUGAAAUUGAACUCGCUGUGAAGAUGCAGUGUACCCGCGGCAAGACGGAAAGACCCCGUGAACCUUUACUAUAGCUUGACACUGAACAUUGAGCCUUGAUGUGUAGGAUAGGUGGGAGGCUUUGAAGUGUGGACGCCAGUCUGCAUGGAGCCAACCUUGAAAUACCACCCUUUAACGUUUGAUGUUCUAACCUAGGCCCGUGAUCCGGGUCGGGGACCGUGUCUGGUGGGUAGUUUGACUGGGGCGGUCUCCUCCUAAAGAGUAACGGAGGAGCACGAAGGUUGGCUAAGCAUGGUCGGACAUCAUGCGGUUAGUGCAAAGGCAUAAGCCAGCUUGACUGCGAGAGUGACGGCUCGAGCAGGUACGAAAGUAGGUCUUAGUGAUCCGGUGGUUCUGAAUGGAAGGGCCAUCGCUCAACGGAUAAAAGGUACUCCGGGGAUAACAGGCUGAUACCGCCCAAGAGUUCAUAUCGACGGCGGUGUUUGGCACCUCGAUGUCGGCUCAUCACAUCCUGGGGCUGAAGUAGGUCCCAAGGGUAUGGCUGUUCGCCAUUUAAAGUGGUACGCGAGCUGGGUUUAGAACGUCGUGAGACAGUUCGGUCCCUAUCUGCCGUGGGCGUUGGAAGAUUGAGAGGGGUUGCUCCUAGUACGAGAGGACCGGAGUGAACGCACCACUGGUGUUCGGGUUGUCAUGCCAAUGGCAUUGCCCGGUAGCUAAGUGCGGAAGAGAUAACCGCUGAAAGCAUCUAAGCGGGAAACUUGCCUCGAGAUGAGUCUUCCCUGUCGCUUAAAGCGACCUAAAGGAACGUUUAAGACGAAGACGUUGAUAGGCUGGGUGUGUAAGCGUAGCGAUACGUUGAGCUAACCAGUACUAAUGAACCGUGAGGCUUAACCUGACAACACCGAAGGUGUUU